rnacentral:rRNA from 1 species
UUAGAGUUUGAUCCUGGCUCAGGAUGAACGCUGGCGGCGUGCUUAACACAUGCAAGUCGAACGAAGCACUUAUCUUUGAUUCUUCGGAUGAAGAGGUUUGUGACUGAGUGGCGGACGGGUGAGUAACGCGUGAGUAACCUGCCCUGGAGUGGGGGACAACAGUUGGAAACGACUGCUAAUACCGCAUAAGCCCACGGUGCUGCAUGGCACUGCGGGAAAAGGAUUUAUUCGCUCUAGGAUGGACUCGCGUCCAAUUAGCUAGUUGGUGAGGUAACGGCCCACCAAGGCGACGAUUGGUAGCCGGACUGAGAGGUUGAACGGCCACAUUGGGACUGAGACACGGCCCAGACUCCUACGGGAGGCAGCAGUGGGGGAUAUUGCACAUGGGGGAAACCCUGAUGCAGCGACGCCGCGUGGAGGAAGAAGGUUUUCGGAUUGUAAACUCCUGUCGUUAGGGACGAUAAUGACGGUACCUAACAAGAAAGCACCGGCUAACUACGUGCCAGCAGCCGCGGUAAAACGUAGGGUGCAAGCGUUGUCCGGAAUUACUGGGUGUAAAGGGAGCGCAGGCGGACCGGCAAGUUGGAAGUGAAAACUAUGGGCUCAACCCAUAAAUUGCUUUCAAAACUGCUGGCCUUGAGUAGUGCAGAGGUAGGUGGAAUUCCCGGUGUAGCGGUGGAAUGCGUAGAUAUCGGGAGGAACACCAGUGGCGAAGGCGACCUACUGGGCACCAACUGACGCUGAGGCUCGAAAGCAUGGGUAGCAAACAGGAUUAGAUACCCUGGUAGUCCAUGCCGUAAACGAUGAUUACUAGGUGUUGGAGGAUUGACCCCUUUCAGUGCCGCAGUUAACACAAUAAGUAAUCCACCUGGGGAGUACGACCGCAAGGUUGAAACUCAAAGGAAUUGACGGAAGGGCGAAUUCU